rnacentral:rRNA from 1 species
UCUGGAGGACAGGUGCGUGCAUGGCUGUCGUCAGCUCGUGUCGUGAGAUGUUGGGUUAAGUCCCGCAACGAGCGCAACCCUUGCCUUUAGUUGCCAGCAGUUCGGCUGGGCACUCUAAAGGGACUGCCGGGUGUUAAACCGGAGGAAGUGGGGAUGACGUCAAGUCCUCAUGGCCUUUAUGACCAGGGCUACACACGUACUACAAUGGCCGAUACAAAGGGCAGCGACACUGCGAGGUGAAGCCAAUCCCGUAAAAUACGGUCUCAGUCCGGAUUGGAGUCUGCAACUCGACUCCAUGAAGUUGGAAUCGCUAGUAAUCGUGGAUCAGCAUGCCACGGUGAAUACGUUCCCGGGCCUU